ensembl:lncRNA
AGGCCAAAGUCGAAAGCGAGUCUUAUGGGGUUAAAAUAAAGGUCUUGAUAGGGCUGCAUUCCUUCUGGAGUCUCUAGGAGAAACUCCAGUUCUUUGCCUUUUCCAGCUUCAUGAGACUACCCACUUUCCUUGUCUCACGACCCCUUUCCCCAACUUCAAAGCCAGCAGCAAUGAGCCAGGUCCUCUCACUCUGCCAUUGCUCCUGUCUUCUGCAGCUGGGAAAGAUACUGUGCUUUUAAGGACUCAUGUGAUUUAGAUUGAGCCCAUCUGGACAGUGCAGGCAGUGUAUUAAUCUCAAGAUGUUUAUUUUAAUCACAUCUAGAAGAACUUUUUGCCAUGUAUGGUAACAUUCACAAAUCCGAGUCAAAUCUUUGAUUCCCUCCGGAUGCUUAUCAUCUUUAAAAAAUUUAUCGGAGUAUAGUUGACUUAACAAUGUUGUGUUCCAGGGAUAUAACAAAGUCAAUCAAUUAUACGUAUAUCCAUUCUUUUUCAGAUUCUUUUCCCAUAUAGGUUAUUACAGAAUAUUGAGUAAAUUUCCCUGUGUUAUAUAGUAGGUCUAUGUCAGUUAUCUAUUUUAUAUAGAGUAGUAUGUUAAUCCUAAAGCCUCAUUUUUCCCUCCUCCCCCCAAUGUUUCCCUGCUUAUAAAAUCUUUUUUUUUUUUAGGAUUUUAAUUUUUUCCACUAUAGUUGAUACAGUGUUCUGUCCAUUUCUACUGUACAGCAAAGUGCCCCAGUCAUAUAUAGAAUUUCUCCUCUCCCAAGGGAAUAGGAGUCUGGGGUUAAUAGAUGUAGACUAUUGCAUUUGGAGUGGAAAGCAAUGAGAUCCUGCUGUAUAGCACAGGGAACUAUAUCCAGUCACUUGUGAUGGAACAUGCUUAGAAAAUCUUGUAUCCACCCUUCCAUCUCCCACAGGACCCUUAGAUUUUCUCAGCCAUCAUCAGGGCUUGCCCUGGGGCAGUAGCAUGUUAGAGUCCCAAGACAUUCAGCAGCCAAUUGGUCCUGUUUUUCCCUUUGAUAAAGGAACAAACUAGGACACAGAGAAGGAAGAUAAAUUAGCAAAGAUCAUGCAAACCUACAUCUCUAGACUCCCAGGCCCAUGCCUGGGCCCAGUGUGGUAUAUAGCCUGUCACACAGUACCAAGCUAGAGAUGACAUACCAUGGACCUCAACUGUUAAAGAAAUUUUCACUCAUAAGCAGAUUUUCCAGGUAGAAAUGUAAUGUCAAAUAGCUUGGGAGCAUUUGCACUACAAGAACCAAGUGAGGAGUUUUUUUUUCCUUUUUUUAAUGAAUCCUUAAUUAAUCAGCAUAUACUUAGCUAAGAUUUUGAGGUCAAGGGCAUCAUGAAUGGGGAAAUCCAUUGGAAAUAUCUCAUUACUCAUGCUUUUAAGGUCUGACCAUAAAGAUUCAGUUGCCACAUGACUUGUUAGUUUAACUGGUGAGGUCAAUGACAAGAGGUAAUUUCCAAGGUACUGUGAAUUCCAGCCCAAGUACAGUCUCAUGGGAAGCACUGUAUUUGAUUAUCUUGUAAAGUCUUUUCCUCUGGAAUGCUAUCUGUUAUGGUCCUUUAAUUUCUAAAUUAUAAAAACUCCUUUAGCGGCUGAGAAGUGCAUCUCUGAGAAAUCUGUUGUUCAAUUGUUGUCAUCGAUUGUUCUUUCCUAUCUGAGCUGACCAGAGAGGAGGCAGGAAAACAAAAACAAAAGCAAAAGCAGAAAUGGCCAACUUCUGUGACCUGAAAUGCAAGUUGUUCCAAGUCAUUUAAUAUAGGCUCUAACUGUUUUGGUGUAUUGAUUGCUAGACUUUUAAAUGCACAAUGGCUUCAAAACUUUCUCUAGUGAAACAUGCUUUUUCACAGCUGGUGUUUAUGCCAUUCAAAAUGUUAAAUCUGAUAGUGUUUUCCUACUGCCAAGCCAGACGAUGAGCACUGUUGUGCUUAAAGGGUAACGGCAAAGUAAUAAAAGAGAAAGGUAGGCAACUAGUUUAGGAAAAAAUAAACCUUGAUAAGAUUUUACUGACAUUUCAUAUCAAGAGUUCAACAAAUCCCAGCAUCAAUUAGAUCCAAGCCGCCUUGUUGGCUAAAUUUCUGAAUUUUGUAGCUGCCAUUCCCUCAAUAAGCAUGUAUUCGGUACUUACUGUGUGUGAGAAGUGGUGCUAUGGACAGAUGACAUAUGGCCCCUACAAGAGCUACAAAGGCACUGAGAUCCAUUUGGAAGAGGAAGUGAGUCACCCAUCAACCAAUUCAGUUGCCCUUCUUGGAACCCCCUUUACCGUUUUCUUCCCUCCUCAUUGGUUUCAAAUAGGAAAACAACAAAUACUGGUAUAUUCUCAGCUUCAGACACAUUCUCUUGAUCCAUCUUAGAGUUGAGACUGGGACACUAAGGACAAUUUGAAGACACACAAAAACAUCAAGAGUAACACAAAUGUUCUUUUAGAACCAAAAAGCUCUUACUAAUGCGUCCCUUUGGCGGAGGGGAUAUUAUCAUUCCCUGUGUAUUUUGCCAUUCCAGUGUACAAUAUGGUGACUAGAUGAUGCUCUGAUUAGGGUAUUUCUUUUUUUGCAUUCAAAAAAUAAGAAAUAUUAGUCUUUACCAAACAUCUAUUUUAUUUCUUUUUUCCAAUUUAAUUUAAUUUCAUAUUGAAAUUAUUCAGUAUGAUUGAUUUACAAUGUUGUAUUAAUUUCACAUGCAUAACAGAGUGAAUCGGUUAUACAUAUACAUAUUCCAGAUUCCUUUCCCAUAUAGAUUAUUACAGAAUAUUGAAUAGAGCUUCCUGUGCUAUACAGUAGGUACGUGUUGAUUAUCUAUUUUAUAUAUAGUGAUGUGUGUCCGUUAAUCCUAAACUCCUAAUAUAUUCCUCCCCAUCACCUUUCCUUUUUGGUAACCAUACGCUUGCUUUCAAAGUCUGUGAGCCUAUUUCUGUUUUGUAAAUAAAUUUAUUUGUAUCAUUUUUUUAGAUUCAGUGUGUAAGUGAUCUCAUAUGAUAUUUGUCUUUCUCUGACUUACUUCACUUAGUAUGGUAAUCCCUAGGUCCAUCCAUGUUGCUACAAAUCUGAUUAGGGUAUUUUAACCAUAAAAUAAUGCCUCGUUUCUUUUAUUGACCACAACUCAGAGUUUAGAGUGUGGUUAAAUAUAAACAAACAUGGACAUCUUUUACAGCACUAGGCAUGAAGUCGCGGCACAAGGAAAACAUGACUAAUUGCCCAGUCAUGACCCCUUCUAAAAAGUACAACUUUUCAGAGUGUUAGGACCAGGUGAAAGGCUCUACCAUAAUUCAACCUGAAUUCGUGAAUUAGUGAAUCAUCCCUAAAUGUAUACAUUGAAAAUAGAGGGGUACCCCUCUCCAGAAGGAAUUUCUGUCUAUUUUCAGCAAUUGCAAAUAUGCAUGGAGUCAUGGAGUUUCAAAAUCUACCUGGGAGGUAAUCUGAUCUGUCUCAUUUUCACACAGAGGAGAAGUUUCCUCAUUUUAUAGAUAAGUAUCAGAAAUUUGAAAUGUCUAGCAAAGGCCAUACAAGUAAAUAUGAACGAGACUGAAGUUAGAAAGGAGCACUCCCUUCUAAUUCAAGGUGAUUUCCUCUCUAGCACAAGCCUUCCGUUAACCAAAGCCGCUUAUUAUCCUCUGCAAAAGGGGACUGUGUUGCAGAAUGACUGUCAUGAUUUAACUCCUGUUUAACUUCUGUUUCCUUCCUUCUUGUCUUCCUGACUUCCCUUUUGUGUUUGCUUUUCUCCUAUCUCAUGAAUGAGAAGAGUAGAAAAAAUUUUAAAUAGGGUUUUGUAUGGAAUAUGUAUACAUGUUCACCUCUUAUUUGUUCUCUCAGAGAUAUAAUUUUCAAGUACCCUUGGGAGUUCAGCCAUGCCUCUGCUCAAUCAUACUAUGAAGGGAAUGAUUAAACUACUAUGGAUAUGUGCAUAGGAGGAAGUAUACGCAGUGAUGUGUGUGUGUGUGUGUGUGUGUGUGUGUGUGUGUGUGUGUGUGUCUACGGGCGUGUAGGUCACUGAUGAGGAGGAACUGCAUCCUGAAAUUACUGUCUAUUCCUCUAUUCUCAGUGACCAGUCUUCAGCUUUGUUUUGUGUUGCUUUAGUAUUCACAAAACAGAUUGACAAACCCCUCAGACCUUUAUCUUACAGGUCUUCGUGUUUUUAAUAGUAAUAGUACACUGUGUAAUUAGCAAAUAGAGUUUCGAUUCUUAUCAACAGUAGGAAAUAACAAUCCAUAAGUAUUUCUCACAUGUUGACCCCCUUCCACUCACACAUACAUCAAGUAUCUGGUGUGAUUCAUGAGCAUAUGAUUAUGAUCUCAGGGUGGGUGAAAGGGAAAAUAGUGUAAUUGAAGCAAACUUGGACAUUUCAGCUCUGGUCUUGGGAAGUUCUCAU